UGGGAUUGUUAUGUGGGUGUUCCCCUCUCGUCUAUAAUUUGUAUGGGUCCUGUGCCUGUAUUAACAAGUAUUAGUACUGUAGCCAUGUUUCAAACUGUUCCCUCAAGUUCAAAUAUCAGUUCAAACCUGUGCCUUUAUGGUAUUACACUAGAGGACAUAUAUCACUCAUUGACUUUGUUCUCCAUGAUAACUUUGUUGUUUAUAGAUUGGCCUUAAGAGUAAUACUUACAGGGCAGUUUUUUUUUAAAAUAUGCCAGACAUGCUUAUAUUCAGUUUAUAAUCUGUCUUGGUACAUAUCUCUUGUUGAUUGCAUGAAUAUCCAGUUAUAAAGCUCAUAUCAAUUAGACAAUUAUAGAGCAUGAUGAUGUAGAGUUCAAUUUGAACCCAUUUUUGUUUAUAUCUUUUCUAGUUCUCUUUCAAUUGACACUUUUGCAAUUAUUUGAUGAGUAUUAUUUUUUAAUAGAUGGCUAAGAGGAAGAACCAAGGGCGCAGGAAAUCCCAUGUUGCCUGGAGCUCCCAUGAUGCCCCAGAGGAUGUUGAUGAUCGCCACACAGCCCCGGAGGAUGUUGAGGAUUGCCACUCACGCCUGCAUGCUUCUAAUUGUAAUCAUAGAGUCAAAGGCAAAUUUGGUGAGGACCAGGAUAUUGGUGGGACGUCAAAUGAGGAUGAUCGCCACACUCGUGAGAUGACUCCUGAGCCUUCUCGUCAGACGACCCCUGAGUCUUCUCGUCAGGUGACUCUUGAGAUUCCUCAGAGUUUGGCAGAGAGUGAGCAUGUGUAGGACCAUCCCUUCCAGGGUGUAGGAGAGCCUGAGGUUGAUGUGGAGCUUGAAGGUGAUGUGGAGCUUGAGGAUGAUGUGGAGCAUGAGGGUGAUGUGGAGCUUGAGGUUGAUGUGGAGCUUGAGGGACCACGACGGGAUGAGGUGCCGGUCUAGACAGAGGCACUAUUUCCCAGGGGACCUGAUGAUCUGUCACUUUCGGUCCAUUACCCACAUCACGUUGUGCCGUGUCUGUGGCAUCAUAUUAUAGGCACCGACGUGCAUUACCCCGAUUGACGUUAGUUGAAGUUUGCCAGCGCUGGGACGAAGCUGGCAAAGAUGUCAUGUGAGGGCGAGGAAGACAAUAUGCGCGUUGUUCGUCAGCUUGUGGAGGGGCCCGGACUCUAUCCGCUCUUCAAGUGCACCUAUUCGGAGAUAGACACACUCAUUCUAUCUACCCUUGUCGAGAAAUGGCAUGAGGAGACCAACAGCUUCCACAUGCCGUUCAGGGAGAUGACUAUCACCCUGGAUGACGUGUCAGCCCUCCUUUAUCUGCCGAUGAGUGAUAGGUUUUAUACUUCCGGACAAGCCAGCAGAGAACAGGCAGCGAGACCUGUGUUUUGCUCUUAGGAGGGAUGGCCACUCACUAAAUCAUGGAGUUUAACGGGGUGAAGACUAUCGACUUGCGGUUCGAGUUCUUGCAAGCUCUCUAUACUAAAGCUCUUGCUGAGCAUCGGCAUGACCAUGCAACACAGAUGUGGAUACUUCACCUUGUCGGCUAGACCUUGUUUGCUAACAAGAGUGAAGGAAACUACACUUCCAUCCAUUGGAUCGGCAUGCUACAGCACCUUGAUCGGGUGUCAAAGUAUGAGUGGGGCGCCAUUGCGCUAGCUACACUGUAUGAUGCACUUCGUCAUGCCUCACGGAGGAAGACUAAUCAGAUGAGCGGUUGCUCUUCCCUCCUGCUUGCUUGGGUGUUCGAGCAUUUCCCAGCCACCAUUAUUCAGCGGAUGGAGGUCCCCGAGUACAAGGAGGACCAGCCCAGAGCGUGCAAGUGGAUGGAGUCACGGGUUGGGCAUGCAGGACUGAUGGAGAGGCGAGUUCUGUUCGAUGAGAUGGCGGCAGAGGACGUCAUAUGGACACCGUAUGAGGAGCACAGGAGUCACAGACAGCAGGAUGUCUGGGCUUUAUACUCAGGCUACAUCAGGACUCCCAUCCGGGCGGCCGUGCGACCCCAUCUUCCUGAGCAGUUUGGGUACGUGCAGCCUAUCCCGCGGCACCCUUCUGUCGUGAUGUCCAAGAGUUCUGCUGCAGAGGUCGUUGAUGCAGCAUACCUUGAUUAUGGGCUGCACCUGAUUCUAGAGGGGGUCCCUACUAUAGUGGAUGGAGUGGCAGUAGAUGAUUACUUGCAGUGGUACACCGGUAUAUCUCACCGGUUCAUCAUCCCGGAAUAGAGGAGGCACGAUCUCAGGGCUGUGGCUUCUUUGCGUCGGGCCGUGGAUUUGUUAGAGCAGGGACUUGAGGUGAGCGAUGCUCCCUCUACAAAUACACGGUCCCGCAGUUUAUUUGAGAAUUGCCUCACCGUUAUCAGAGAUUUGAGCAGGACCCAGGGGGUCGCUUUCGUUGGUGGUACACGAGGAGGCAGAGGUCGUGGCAGAGGAGGAGGCGGAGGUGGAGAUAGAGGAGGAGUUCGAG